GCAAGUCGAACGAGAAAUUCCGAUUCGUCGGGAGAGUAAAGUGGCGAACGGGUGAGUAAUACAAGGGUAAUCUGCCCUUAAAUUAGGGAUAACCUUGCGAAAGCGAAGCUAAUACCUGAUAAGACUACGACCUCUUAGGUGGUUGUAGGAAAAGAUGGCCUCUGUUUCAAGCUAUCGUUUAAGGAUGAGCCCUUGCACUAUUAGCUUGUUGGUGGGGUAAUGGCCUACCAAGGCGACGAUCUGUAGCUGGUCUGAGAGGACGAUC
rnacentral:rRNA from 1 species